ensembl:lncRNA
AGAUAGGUGUCUGACCACCAAAUGUUCCUGUUUUGCCCACAAGUGGCAGCUCCGCCAGGGAAUGCAUAUUUCAUCUAGGAUUAGAAGUUUUAAGAUGUGUGAAAAUGGUUGAACCAUCUACAAGAACUCUAAAAAUCCAAAGAAGAAAUGUUGAUGAGGAAAAUCAAAUGGACUAUUAUACUGAAAUAAGACUUACUAUUGACGAUGAUAAAGAUGGAUAAAAAAUGGAAUAAUGAGAAAAAUAACCGGAAACAUUAAGCCACCCCGGAUGUGGAUGUGUGAGAAGCCAGCCCACUUCGUGGAUGAGCGUAGGUGUCUGCCUUCCAGAGAGCGGGGCUGCAGGCCGAAACGCCCAAACUGCUACCAGAAGACACACUCCUGUUUGUGAAUGAUGGCUUCUGCAUCACUUAGCUUUGUUGGGGGUGAAGGGAGAUCCUAGUAUAAGAUUUGUUGAUUUUCUCAGAGUAUAGCUGACGACAAAGGCCUGUGAAUUCCCAAACACUUGCCCUUCGACGUGAGGAACCUUCUGCAGUAUCUCCAGUGAGACAUUGCCCAGGGGAGUCAUGCACAAGUGGGCAGUCUCUUAUUCUGACCAGAAAUGAGGUACGUAACCAUACAUUCAUAGAUAUUGCUCAGGAACCCAGGCAAAAAUUAUAAUCCCCCUUGUCAUGUUAGACACUGCAAAAGCUGGGUUAGAGUUCCGAAUCUGCCCUUUUGAAGCUGUAUAACCCCACUCAAAGUAUUUGAUUUUUGAACCUUGAUUUCCUUAUCUGCAGAAUGGAGAUAAUGCCUACCUCACAGCGCUAUUGUGAGUGUUAAAUGAAAAAAUGUAUGGAAAUUUGCCACCAGUAACAAAAGAACAUGGGGACAAGUGACUAUUGCAAAGUUAAAGUAUGUGCAGUACCUGGAAAGUAUGGAAAGUACCUGACACAAGAAUGUAUUGCUAAUGCCCAGAGAAGUGGAGAGGCAGGUCAUCUCUGUUGCCAGCUUAAAGUCUCCUGGUGCAUUUUCUCUCAAAAAGUGAAGCAAACCCGGUCACUGGAAUGUGAGGAACAUAGUGAUGGCACCAAGAACCCCCAUCCGGCCCCCCGUAGAAGCCCUCCAAAGGAAGGAAAAGGGACUCUCGGGUGGCUGGUAAGAUGGCCGAAUAAGAACAGCUCCAGUCUGCAGUUCCCAGCAAGAUCAACACAGAAGGUGAGUGAUUUCUACAUUUCCAACUGAGGUACCCGGCUCAUCUCAUUGGGACUGGCUAGACAGUGGGUGCAGCCCACACAGGGUGAGCAGAAGCAGGGUGGGGUGUCGCCUCAUCCAGGAAGUGCAAGGAGUCAGGGAACUCCUUCCCCAGUUAAGGGAAGCCAUAAGGGAUUGUGGCAUGAGGAACAGUGUAUUCCGGCACAGAUACUACACUUUUCCCAAGGUCUUCGCAAACCACAGGCCAGCAGAUUCCUCAGGUGCCUACACCACCAGGGCGCUGGGUUUCAAGCACAAAACUGGGCAGCUGUUUGGGCAGACACCGAGCUAGCUGCAGGAGUAUUUUUGUUUUUUUUUUUUUUUUUUUCAUACCCCAGUGGUGCCUGGAAAACCAGUGAGACAGAAUCUUUCACUCCUCUGGAAUGGGGACUGAAGCCAGGGAGCCAAGUGGUCUAGCUCAGCAGAUCCCACCCCCAUGGAGCCCAGAAAGUUAAGAUCCACUGGCUUAAAAUUCUCACUGCCAACACAGCAGUCUGAAGUCGACCUGGGACACUGGAGCUUGGUGGUGGGGGGGGCAUCCACCAUUACUAAGGCUUGAAUAAGCCGUUUUCCCCUCACAGUGUAAACAAAGCUGCCAGGAAGUUCAAACUGGGCAGAGCCCAGUGCAGCUUGGCAAAGCCACUGUAGCCAGCCUGCCUCUCUAGAUUCCUCCUGUCUGGGCAGGGCAUCUCUGAAAGAAAGGCAGCAGCCCCAGUCAGAGGCUUAGAGAUAAAACUCCCGUCUCCCUGGGACAGAGCACCUGGGGGAAGGGGCAGCUGUCUUGAGUCAUUGGGAGCAUUAAUGAGGAAAGAAGCAGACUUAAACAUUCCUGCGUGUCAGUUCUGAAGACAGCAGUGGAUCUCCCAGCCCAGCGCUCAAGUUCUGCUAAGGGACAGGCUGCUUCUUCAAGUGGGCCCCUGACCCUUGUGCCUCCUGAAUGGGAGACAUCUCACAGCAGGGGUCGACAGACACCUCAUACAGGAGAGCUCUGGCUGACAUGUGGUGGGUCUCUCUCUGGGACGAAGCUUCCAGAGGAAUGAACAGGCAGCAAUCUUUGCUGUUUUGCAGCCUCCGCUGGUGAUAGUCAGGCAAACGGGGUCUGGAGUGGACCUCCAGCAAACUCCAGCAGACCUGGAGCAGAUGGGCCUGACUGUUAGAAGGAAAACUAACAAACAUAAAGGAAUAGCAUCAACAUCAACAAAAAGGAUGUCCACACAAAAACCCUAUCCAAAGGUCACCAACACCAAAGACUGAAGGUAGAUAAAUCCACGAAGAUGAGAAAAAACUAGCACAGAAAGGCUGAAAAUUCCAAAAACAAGAACAUCUCUUCUCCUUCAAAGGAUCACAACUUCUUACCAGCAAGGGAACAAAACUGGACAGAGAAUGAGUUUGACGAAUGGACAGAAGUGGGAUUCAGAAGGUGGGUAAUAACAAACUCCUCUGAGCUAAAGGAGCGUGUUCUAACCCAUUGCAAGAUAGCUAAGAACCUUGAAAAAAGGUUAGAGGAAUUGCUUUCUAGAAUAAUCAGUUCAGAGAAGAACAUAAAUGACCUGAUAGAGCUGAAAAACACAGCAAGAGAACCUAGUGAAGCAUACACAAGUAUCAGUAGCCAAAUCAAUUAAGCAGAAGAAAGGAUAUCAGAGAUUAAAGAUCAACUUAAUGAAAUAAAGUAUGAAGACAAGAUUGGAGAGAAAAUAAUAAAAUGGAAUGAACAAAGCCUUCAAGAAAUAUGGGACUAUGUGAAAAGACCAAGCCUAUGUUUGAUUGGUGUACAUGAAAGUGAUGGGGAGAAUGGAACCAAGUUGGAAAAACUCUUCAGGAUAUUAUCCAGGAGAACUUCCCCAACCUAGCAAGGCAGGUCAACAUUCCAUUUCAAGAAAUACAGAGAACAUCACAGAUACUUCUCAAGAAGAGCAACCCCAAGACACAUAAUCAUCAGAUUCACCAAGGUUGAAAUGAAGGAAAAAAUGUUAAGCAAAGCCAGAGAGACAGGUUGGGUUACCCACAAAGGGAAGCCCAUCAGACUAACAGCAGGUCUCUUGGCAGAAACCUACAAGCCAGAAGAGAGUGUGGGCCAAUAUUCAACAUUCUUAAAGAAAAGAAUUUUCAACCCACAAUUUGAUAUCCAGCCAAACGAACCUUCAUAAGGGAAGGAGAAAUAAAAUCCUUUACAGACAAACAAAUGCUAAGAGAUUUUGUCACCACCAGGCCUGCCUUACAAGAGCUCCUGAAAGAAGCACUAAAUAUGGAAAGGAAAAAGCGGUACCAGACAUUGCAAUAACGUACCAAAUUGUAAAGACCAUCGACACUAUGAAGAAACUGCAUCAACUAAUGGGCAA